ACUGUUCCAACGCUACCACCACAAAAACAACCCACCACCAAACCCUCUAUCAACACCACCACAAUCUAAUCACCACCAACAUUAAACUCAGUAGCUAGUAUUACGGAUGAAUUAACCAAAACUCUUCUAGUGAUGAUUAGAGUCGAUUACUUGAUAUUUUAAUAACUCAGUAGUUUUCAUUUUUUUACACUACUCAUUCUUCUCAAUCAAACUCGAAGAACAACUGACAAGCGAGUAUUAAAGCAACUCAGACCUUUGAUUAUGGCGCUAAUUCUGUCUUGUAUAAUUUUUUUCUUCCCUUCUUUGGAAUGGGUCUCCCCAGAAUUUUGAAAAACAAUCAGUUAAUUGGGUCUCCUCAACCUUGUCCCAAAUUCCAAAUUUAAAACUCUUAGACCUUGCACAGAAUACACUGAGUGGGGAAAUACCUAGGCUUAUAUACUGGAAUGAAGUUUUGCAAUAUCUAUCUUUGCAAGGUAAUCAACUCUCAGGACAAAUCCCAUCGGUGAUUGGCUUGAUGCAGGCACUUGCUGUGUUUCAAGACAAGCAACUAUCAGUGUAGAUGCAAUGCUGGAGAUCUUGCAGCACUCAGCUGAGGAAAAUGAAAAGAAGUUGGAAGAAGAGGAUGAAGCCUUCAACUUGCUUCCCAGUGCUGUAAAGAGUACAUGAUUGGUCUUGCAACUAUGUUGUAUAGCAUACAGUUGAUUUCCCCCCCCCUCUUUUUAUGCUAGACAUUC